rnacentral:rRNA from 1 species
CAUGGCUCAGGAUGAACGCUAGCUACAGGCUUAACACAUGCAAGUCGAGGGGAAACGGCAUUUAGUGCUUGCACCGAAUGGACGUCGACCGGCGCACGGGUGAGUAACGCGUAUCCAACCUUCCCAUAACUAAGGAAUAACCUGCCGAAAGGCAGACUAAUACCUUAUGUAAUCCUUUGAUGGCAUCAGAUUAGGAUAAAAGAUUUAUCGGUUAUGGAUGGGGAUGCGUCUGAUUAGCUUGUUGGCGGGGUAACGGCCCACCAAGGCAACGAUCAGUAGGGGUUCUGAGAGGAAGGUCCCCCACAUUGGAACUGAGACACGGUCCAAACUCCUACGG